rnacentral:rRNA from 1 species
GACGAACGCUGGCGGCGUGCCUAAUACAUGCAAGUCGAGCGCAGGAAACUGACGGAACUCUUCGGAGGGAAGGCAGUGGAAUGAGCGGCGGACGGGUGAGUAACACGUAAGGAACCUGCCUCAAGGAUUGGGAUAACUCCGAGAAAUCGGAGCUAAUACCGGAUAGUUCAACGGACCGCAUGGUCCGCUGAUGAAAGGCGCUUCGGCGUCACCUUGAGAUGGCCUUGCGGUGCAUUAGCUAGUUGGUGGGGUAACGGCCCACCAAGGCGACGAUUCAUAGCCGACCUGGGGGGGUGAUCGGCCACCCUGGGACUGAGACACGGCCCAGACUCCUACGGGAGGCAGCAGUAGGGAAUCUUCCACAAUGGACGAAAGUCUGAUGGAGCAACGCCGCGUGAGUGAUGAAGGUUUUCGGAUCGUAAAACUCUGUUGUAAGGGAAGAACACGUACGAGAGGAAAUGCUCGUACCUUGACGGUACCUUACGAGAAAGCCACGGCUAACUACGUGCCAGCCGCCGCAGUAAUAC